rnacentral:rRNA from 1 species
AACGUAGGAGACAAACGUUAUCCGGAGUUACUGGGCGUAAAGGGCGUGUAGGUGGUUGCGUAAGUCUGGCGUGAAAUUUUUCGGCUUAACCGGGAAAGGUCGUCGGAUACUGCGUAACUAGAGGACGGUAGAGGCGUGUGGAAUUCCUGGUGUAGCGGUGAAAUGCGCAGAUAUCAGGAGGAACACCGAUGGCGAAGGCAGGUCUCUGGGCCACUACUGACGCUGAGAAGCGAAAGCAUGGGGAGCGAACAGG